rnacentral:misc_RNA from 1 species
CAACCCUCGAGCCCCCCCGGGGCCCGGUGUUGGGGAUCGACCGCCCCCCCGUGGCGGUCGGCCCUGAAAUCCAGUGGCGGUCUCGCCGCAGCCUCCUCUGCGUAGUAGCACACACUCGCACUUGGACGGCCGGCGCGGCCACGCCGUGAAACCCACAACUUCUGAAAGG